rnacentral:rRNA from 1 species
GACGAACGCUGGCGGCGUGCUUAACACAUGCAAGUCGUACGGUAAGGCCCUUUCGGGGGUACACGAGUGGCGAACGGGUGAGUAACACGUGAGUAACCUGCCCACAACUUUGGGAUAACGCUAGGAAACUGGUGCUAAUACUGGAUAUGUGCUCCUGCUGCAUGGUGGGGGUUGGAAAGCUCCGGCGGUUGUGGAUGGACUCGCGGCCUAUCAGCUUGUUGGUGGGGUAGUGGCCUACCAAGGCGGCGACGGGUAGCCGGCCUGGGGGGGUGACCGGCCACAUUGGGACUGAGAUACGGCCCAGACUCCUACGGGAGGCAGCAGUGGGGAAUAUUGCACAAUGGGCGCAAGCCUGAUGCAGCAACGCCGCGUGCGGGAUAACGGCCUUCGGGUUGUAAACCGCUUUCAGCAGGGACGAAGCUUUUUGUGACGGUACCUGCAGAAGAAGCACCGGCUAACUACGUG